rnacentral:rRNA from 1 species
GACGAACGCUGGCGGCGUGCUUAACACAUGCAAGUCGAACGGAAAGGCCCUGCUUUUGUGGGGUGCUCGAGUGGCGAACGGGUGAGUAACACGUGAGUAACCUGCCCUUGACUUUGGGAUAACUUCAGGAAACUGGGGCUAAUACCGGAUAGGAGCUCCUGCUGCAUGGUGGGGGUUGGAAAGUUCCGGCGGUUGGGGAUGGACUCGCGGCUUAUCAGCUUGUUGGUGGGGUAGUGGCUUACCAAGGCUUUGACGGGUAGCCGGCCUGAGAGGGUGACCGGCCACAUUGGGACUGAGAUACGGCCCAGACUCCUACGGGAGGCAGCAGUGGGGAAUAUUGCACAAUGGGCGGAAGCCUGAUGCAGCAACGCCGCGUGCGGGAUGACGGCCUUCGGGUUGUAAACCGCUUUCGCCUGUGACGAAGCGUGAGUGACGGUAAUGGGUAAAGAAGCACCGGCUAACUACGUGCCAGCAGCCGCGGUGAUACGUAGGGUGCGAGCGUUGUCCGGAUUUAUUGGGCGUAAAGGGCUCGUAGGUGGUUGAUCGCGUCGGAAGUGUAAUCUUGGGGCUUAACCCUGAGCGUGCUUUCGAUACGGGUUGACUUGAGGAAGGUAGGGGAGAAUGGAAUUCCUGGUGGAGCGGUGGAAUGCGCAGAUAUCAGGAGGAACACCAGUGGCGAAGGCGGUUCUCUGGGCCUUUCCUGACGCUGAGGAGCGAAAGCGUGGGGAGCGAACAGGCUUAGAUACCCUGGUAGUCCACGCUGUAAACGGUGGGUACUAGGUGUGGGGUCCAUUCCACGGGUUCCGUGCCGUAGCUAACGCUUUAAGUACCCCGCCUGGGGAGUACGGCCGCAAGGCUAAAACUCAAAGGAAUUGACGGGGCCCCGCACAAGCGGCGGAGCAUGCGGAUUAAUUCGAUGCAACGCGUAGAACCUUACCUGGGUUUGACAUGGAUCGGGAGUGCUCAGAGAUGGGUGUGCCUCCUUUGGGGUCGGUUCACAGGUGGUGCAUGGCUGUCGUCAGCUCGUGUCGUGAGAUGUUGGGUUAAGUCCCGCAACGAGCGCAACCCUUGUUCACUGUUGCCAGCACGUUAUGGUGGGGACUCAGUGGAGACCGCCGGGGUCAACUCGGAGGAAGGUGGGGAUGACGUCAAGUCAUCAUGCCCCUUAUGUCCAGGGCUUCACGCAUGCUACAAUGGCUGGUACAGAGAGUGGCGAGCCUGUGAGGGUGAGCGAAUCUCGGAAAGCCGGUCUCAGUUCGGAUUGGGGUCUGCAACUCGACCUCAUGAAGUCGGAGUCGCUGGUAAUCGCAGAUCAGCAACGCUGCGGUGAAUACGUUCCCGGGGCU